rnacentral:rRNA from 1 species
UGGGGGAUAUUGCGCAAUGGGGGAAACCCUGACGCAGCAACGCCGCGUGAAGGAAGAAGGUCUUCGGAUUGUAAACUUCUUUUGUCAGGGACGAAGAAAGUGACGGUACCUGACGAAUAAGCUCCGGCUAACUACGUGCCAGCAGCCGCGGUAAUACGUAGGGGGCAAGCGUUAUCCGGAUUUACUGGGUGUAAAGGGAGCGUAGACGGCAUCACAAGUCAGAAGUGAAAAUCCGGGGCUCAACCCCGGAACUGCUUUUGAAACUGUGGAGCUGGAGUGCAGGAGAGGUAAGCGGAAUUCCUAGUGUAGCGGUGAAAUGCGUAGAGAUCGGGAGGAACACCAGUGGCGAAGGCGGCCUACUGGGCUUUAACUGACGCUGAGGCACGAAAGCAUGGGUAGCAAACAGGAUUAGAUACCCUGGUAGUCCAUGCCGUAAACGAUGAUUACUAGGUGUGGGGGGACUGACCCCUUCCGUGCCGCAGUUAACACAAUAAGUAAUCCACCUGGGGAGUACGGCCGCAAGGUUGAAACUCAAAGGAAUUGACGGGGGCCCGCACAAGCAGUGGAGUAUGUGGUUUAAUUCGAAGCAACGCGAAGAACCUUACCAGGUCUUGACAUCCUGAGAAUCCUUAAGAGAUUAGGGAGUGCCUUCGGGAACUCAGAGACAGGUGGUGCAUGGUUGUCGUCAGCUCGUGUCGUGAGAUGUUGGGUUAAGUCCCGCAACGAGCGCAACCCUUGCUAUUAGUUGCUACGCAAGAGCACUCUAAUAGGACUGCCGUUGACAAAACGGAGGAAGGUGGGGACGACGUCAAAUCAUCAUGCCCCUUAUGACCUGGGCUACACACGUACUACAAUGGCCAUUAACAGAGGGAAGCAAAACCGCGAGGCAGAGCAAACCCCUAAAAAUGGUCCCAGUUCGGAUUGUAGGCUGCAACCCGCCUACAUGAAGUUGGAAUUGCUAGUAAUCGCGGAUCAGCAUGCCGCGGUGAAUACGUUCCC